rnacentral:rRNA from 1 species
GACGAACGCUGGCGGCGUGCCUAAUACAUGCAAGUAGAACGCUGAAGGAGGAGCUUGCUUCUCUGGAUGAGUUGCGAACGGGUGAGUAACGCGUAGGUAACCUGCCUGGUAGCGGGGGAUAACUAUUGGAAACGAUAGCUAAUACCGCAUAAUAGCAGUUGUUGCAUGACAACUGUUUGAAAGGUGCAAUUGCACCACUACCAGAUGGACCUGCGUUGUAUUAGCUAGUUGGUGGGGUAACGGCUCACCAAGGCGACGAUACAUAGCCGACCUGAGAGGGUGAUUGGCCACACUGGGAGUGAGACACGGCCCAGACUCCUACGGGAAGCAGCAGUAGGGAAUCUUCGGCAAUGGACGGAAGUCUGACCGAGCAACGCCGCGUGAGUGAAGAAGGUUUUCGGAUCGUAAAGCUCUGUUGUAAGAGAAGAACGAGUGUGAGAGUGGAAAGUUCACACUGUGACGGUAUCUUAACAGAAAGGGACGGCUAACUACGUG